rnacentral:misc_RNA from 1 species
ACAAAUUCUUAUUUCAAUGCUUUUAACAAUAAGACUCCAAGAAUACAACAAAGAAGACAGAAAUUAGGAAUCAAGGAGUUCUCAUUUUAUUGCAGAAGAGCAUUCAUUUCUUGGGAGUAAAGAGAAAAAAGAGAAACACAUCGAGCGCGGCCUUUCUCAGGAAUAUAUAAGCAUCAAAAGCUCAAGAUUCACUCAUCUGUUAGUGUACAACAUAAUCCAAACUCCUAAAACGAGGUCAUCGAGGAACUUCACUGCAAAAACUCUCGGGGAUCAGUGACAUAACCGGUCAAUGCUGAUGCUGCAGCUGUAUACGGAGAUGCAAGAUAAAUCUGGCCUUCCUUGUGUCCCAUUCGACCAGGGAAGUUCCUAUUCGUGGUUGAUACACAGACCUGAGCUUCAUUCAUGCGUGCAUAAGUGUCUUUAGGGCCACCCAAACAAGCACCACAACUAGGA